GCCGGAGUAGCUCAAUUGGCAGAGCAGCUGAUUUGUAAUCAGCAGGUUGCGGGUUCAAGUCCCAUCUCCGGCUCCA
rnacentral:tRNA from 1 species